GGGCGUGUGGCUCAGUUGGUAGAGCGUUCGCUUAGCAUCUCACCGCCUUCUGAAGAUUGGUGUCCGUGAUGCGAAAGGUCCUGGGUUCGAUUCCCAGCCCGUCCA